UGUCAGAAGUUAACAGUCCUAACAGUUUGCAUCAUGGCCUGGAAUGUGCUUCUCUUCAGCCUCCUCACUCAGGGCACAGUUUCCUGGGCCCAGUCAGCCCUGACUCAACCGUCCUCAGUGUCUGGAGCUCAGGGAAAGACUGUCACCAUCUCCUGUGCAGGAACCAGCAAUGACAUUGGAAGGUAUAAUGAUGUCUCCUGGUACCAACAGGAGCCAGACAGGCGUCCCAAACUGCUGAUUUAUGAUGUCAGUAACCGGGCCUCAGGGGUCCCUGAUCGCUUCUCUGGCUCCAAGUCAGGCAACACAGCCUCGCUGACCAUCUCUGGGUUGCAGCCUGAGGACGAGGCUGACUAUCACUGUAGUUCAUAUGCAGGCAGUAACACUUUUGUGUUCGGCGGAGGGACGAGGCUGACCGUCACAGGUGGGCCCAAGUCAGCACCCUCAGUCACACUGUUCCCACCAUCCACUGAGGAACUCAGCACCAACAAGGCCACACUGGUGUGUCUCAUCAGUGACUUCUACCCUGGCAGUGUGACUGUGGGCUGGAAGGAAGAUGGCACCACCAUCACCAAAGGAGUGCAGACCACCAAGCCCUCCAAGCAGAGCAACAGCAAGUACGCAGCCAGCAGCUACCUGAGCCUGACAGCCAGUGACUGGAAAUCUCAUAGCUCAUACAGCUGCCAGGUGACGCAUGAAGGCAGCACCGUGGAGAAGACAGUGAGCCCCAGCUGAGUGUGAAGUCCCAGGCCCUCCUCGCCCCAAAACUUGAGGAUGGCUACACAGGACCCUGGGUGGGUCUCUCCUUCCACCUUAACCAUCCCCACCUCAUCUGCCUGGAUUCAACCAACUCUCAAUAAAAUGUCCUCACUUUAA